CACCGUAACCAGAGCAAUGCAGGUUUGAGCUGUGUCUGUGACCUACAUCUCAGAUAAUAGCCAUGCCAGAUCCUUAACUCACUAAGGGCGGCCAGGGAUCAAACCUGUAUCCUCAUGGAUACUAGUCAGGUUUGUUGCUGCUGAGCCAUAAAAGGAACUCCUCAAGGUAUUUUUUAAUUUCCUUUUUGAUUCCUCGUUGUCCCAUUUGUUUCUUGGUAGUUUCUUAUUUAAUCUCCAUUUAGUAGGUUUUUUCCUCAUUUCUUUCCCUCUGGUUGAUAGCCAGUUUCAUGCUAUUUUGGUCAGAGAAGAUGCUUGAAAUAAUUUCUCUACUCUUAAAUUUGCAAAGGUUAAUUUUAUACCCUAGUAUGUUGUCAAUACUAGAGUAUGUUCCAUGUGCACUUGAAUGUAUAUUCUGUUGGGGUUUUUUUGGAUGUAAUGGCCUGAAAAUAUCAAUUAAGUCUAAUAGUUCUAUUGUGCCAUUUAGGAUCUUUUUGUUUUACUGAUUUUCUGUGAGAAGAUCUGCCCAUUGAUAUAAGCAAGAUGUUAAAGCCCCUAAUCUUAUUGUAUUCCCAUCAAUUUCUUCCUUUCUACCUGUUAGUAUUUGUUUUAUGUAUUUGGGUACUCCUCUAUUAGGGGCAUAUAUGUUCAUGAGUAUAAUAUCCUCUUCUUGAAUUGAUCAUUUUAUCAUCAAAUAGUGUCCUUCUUUGUCUUAUUUUAGGGCCUUUCUUUUAACGUAUAUUUUAUCUGAUAUGAGUAUUGAGACAUCUGGGUUUUUUUGUCACUUCUGUUUGCGUGAAAUAUCUUUUUGCAUUCCCUCACUUUCAACCUAUGUUUGUCCUUUGCCCUAACGUGAGUCUCUUGAAGGAAGCAUAUUGUAGGCUUUUGUUUUUUUAUCUAGUCUGCCACUCUGUCUUUUGAUUUGAACAUUCAGUCCAGUGACAUUUAAGGUAAUUACUGAUACUUAUGUAUUCAUUGCCAUUUUAAACCUUAUUUUCCAUUUGAUUCUAUGUUUCUCCUUUGUUUCUUUUUCUUUUUUGUCAUUUGCUGGUUUCCUUUUAUUUUAUGCUUGUGUCUUCUUUUUAGUUUUGGUGAAUCUUUUAUUGGUUUUUGAUUUGUGGUUGCCCUGUUUUCCAAGUGUCUUAACCCUUUCCUAUAUCUCCUUGCUUUAGACUCAUAGCCAUAUAAGCUCUAACACAUUCUAAAAAUAGAAGUGAAGGGAGUUCCCAUCAUGGCUCAGAAGUAACAAACCUGACUAAGAUCCAUGAGGAUGUGGGUUUGAUCCCUGGCCUCGCUCAGUAGGUUAAGGAUCCAGUGUUGCCAUGAGCUGUGGUGUAGGUCACAGAUGCAGCUCAGAUAUGGUGUUGUUGUGGCUGUAGUGUAGGCUGGCAGCUACAGCUCUGAUUCAACCUCCAGCCCGGGAACUUCCAUAUGCCACAGGUGCUGCCCUAAAAAAUAAAAUAAAAUAGUGGACAUUUUCUUACUCUCCUUCCCCACAUUUUUAAAUUUAAUUUAAUUUUUUAUUUUAUUUUAUUGUUGUUUAGGCCUACACCCUCAGCACACACAAGUUCCAAGGCUAGGGGUCAAACCAGAGCUACAGCUGCCGACCACAGCCACAGCCAUGGCUACAUGGGAUCCAAGCCAUGUCUGUGACCUACACCAGAGCUCAUGGAAACCCCAGAUCUCAGACCCACUGAGCAAGGCCAGAGAUCAAACCCGCAUCCUCACAGAUACUAAUUGGAUUCAUUUCCUCUGUGCCACAAUGGGACCUCCCUUGCCCAGAUUUUGGGAUUUUGAUUUAUUUUUUACAUCUUCACAUUUAUUCUUUUGCUAUUCUUUGUGUUUAUCAGUGCUUUCACAAAUUUUUUUUUUUUGGUUUUGAUCUGUUCACUGACUUAUUUAAGUGAGCACUUUCCAAUUAUGAUUUUCUCCAUCAUAAUACGUUUUUACUUCUUUCCUAUUUAGAGGAGCCAUUUCAAUAUUUCUUUUAGCAUAGGUUGUAUUGCUGCAUUUGUUUAGUUUUUGCUUCUCUAAGAAAUUCUUUUUCGUUUGUGUGUUUUGUUUGUUGGUUGGGUUUUUUUGUUUGUUUGUUUGUUUGCCUUUUUUAGAGCCACACCCACUGCAUAUGAAAGUUCCAAGGCUAGGGGUCAUAUCAGAACUAUAGUUGUGGCCACAGCCAUAGCAAUAUGGGAUCCAAACUGCAUCUGUGACCUACACCAGAGCUCACAGGAACACCAGAUUCCUGACCCCCUGAGCGAGACGAGGGAUUGAACCCACAUCCUCAUGGGUACUCGUCAGAUUCAUUUCAGCUGCACCACAAUGAGAACUCCCUCUGAGAUAUUCUUUAUUUCUCCUAUUUUAAAUGAUCAUCUUCCUGGGUAGAGUAUUUUAGAUUGCAGAUUUUUCCUUUUUAGGACUUUGAAUAUAUCGCCUCUCCCUUCUGGUCUGCAGUGUUUCUGAAAUCAGUUAGUUGCCUUAUGGGGGUUCCCUUGUAAUCACCUCUUUGUUUUUCUCUUGCCACCUUUAGAAUCCUACCCUUAUCUUUAAUUUUUGACAUUUUUUAAGUCAUAUAUCUUGGUAUAGGUCUGUUUGGGUUCAUCUUGUUUAGGACCCUCUAUGCUUCCUCUAUCGAUAUCUGUUUCCUUCUUUAGAUUUGGGAAAUUUUCAGGCAUAAUUUCUUCAAAUACAGUUUCAAUCCCCUUUUUUCUUUCUUCCCUUUCUGGGAUCCAUAUUAUGUGUAGAUUGGCAAGCUUUAUACUAUCCAAUAGAUCUGUUAUAUUGCUUCCAUUUUUUUUUUUUAAUUUGCCUUCUAUCUGCUGUCUGGAUUGGAAGAUUUCCAUUACUCUAUCUUCCAAGUCACUUAUUCCUUCAUCUGCGUUAUUCAUUCUGCUAUUCUUUGCCUUUAGCUCAGUGUCUGUCUUGGCAAUGAAUUUUCUAAAUUUUCUUGGCUCCUCCUUUAUAGUUUCUAGUUCCUUUUUUGAAGUAAUCUGUGUUACUAUUGAUAGCCUUUCUUAAUUGCUUCAGUAAUUUCAUUAUAUCCUUUUUGAACUUGGUGUCUGUUAGACUGCAGAAGUCUGGUUCAUUGUUUGUUCCUUCCAGGGAAUUCUUCUAUUCUUCUAACUGGGAGUGGUUCCUCAGCUUCUUCAUUUUAUUUAUAUUUUUUCUUACUCUGUGAGUUUAGGGAAAACAAGUAUCUAAUGUAGUCUUGAAGGACUAUUUAUAUGUGGGGACAUCCCUAGGUAGCUUGUGUGGGUUUAUUCUUUUUUUAGACAUGAGGGCUGCUUUUGGUUUGGAUGCCUACUAUCUCUUUCUUCAAUGUGUGUAGGCCAUUAUUCCCUUCAUAGGGGGUGAGUAGUUUUAUGGCUCAUGCUGCUUCAGGUAGGUGGGGCAAUUACCAGUGUCUGCAGGUAGCACUUGGUUACCAGGCCCUUGGUGGUGGCAGUAAACAUGCAGAGGUGUAUGUAGUGAGCUGCGCCUGGUUGCAGGGCCCCUGGCAGUGGCAAUGACCCCCAAAGAGGUUGAGGGAGCACCUAGUCAUGGGGUCUUGGCAGCUGCAACAGUGGGGCAUGUAUGUUCCCAAGGAGGUGGGGGCAAUUGGCUGUACUCAGGCACAGGGCCCUCUACAACAAGGUCAGUACUUAAAUUCCUGGUGAGGGUAGCAAGCAUUGGCAGGCCACACCUACCUCUGGAGUCUGAGAUGGCUAUGGAGCCUUGUACCCAUCCCCAUAGCCUAUGCAAGAGGUUCCCUGCCACCUGAGAGCCGACAUGCGCAGAGAAAGAAGUUCCUAUGGUGGUCUUGCUUCUUCCACCCUCUGCACUUCUCAACAAUGGUGCCUUGCUUCUCCGGUAGGCCCAGGCCUCCUAUCUAACUCCCUCUACUAUGAACACCACUAUCUAGCCCUCUCAGGAUAUUUCCACACACCAAACUCCAGUCAUCUCCCUGGGACUGACCUCCAAAGCCUGACUGAGCCUCAGCACCCAGUCCCUGCCCUAGUGUCUCAGGCUUUGGUGUGCUGGGCAGUGGUGCCAAUCAUCUGUGCAGUUCUCUGCUUUGCCUUCCUCAUACUGGCUGCUGCACUUUUUCUGAGGCUUUGAGUUUCCCUUUCCAUCCUGGCUUAUCUCCCCAUCAGUUAGGUGGCCUCCCAGGGUGCAGAUUCCUUUCUUCUUUCACAGUUCCCUCUCAGAAGUGCUGGUCCAGUCCUGAUUCCUUUUUCUUCCUUCCCUCUUCUCUCUCUCUCUUUUUCCUUUUGUCCUACCCAGUUACAUGGAGGUUUUCUUGCCCUUUUUGAAUGUCUGAGGUCUCCUGCCAGCUUCAGUAGAUGUUCUGUGAGAAUCAUUCUACAUGUAGAUUUUUUUUUAUGUUUUUGUUGGAAAACUGAGCUCUAUGUCCCCCUCCUCUGUCAUCCUGCUCCUGCAUCUGGUUGUACUUUUUAAAAAAAAUUUUUUGGUGACACCUGCAUCAUAUGAAAUUUCCCAGACCAGGAACUGAAUCUGAGCCACAGCUGCAACCAACACUGUAGCUGUGCCAAUGCCAGAUCCUUUAAAAACUCACCAUGCUAGGCCUGGGAUCAAACAUGCCCCUUUUCAGUGACCCAAGCCACUUAAGUCUGAUUCUUAACCCACUGUGCCACAGUGGGAAUUCCUGGUUGUACUUUCUGAUGUUUCAGUUACUUGCAGUCAACUAUGGUCUGAAAAUAUGAAAUGGAAUAUUUAAGAAACACAUAAUCACACAAUUUGGACUGCAUACAAUUCUGAGCACUGUAUUUAAAUCUCAUUCUGUCCUGCUCCAUUCCUUCUGGGACGUGAUUUCCUUUGCCUAGCAUAUCCCUCCUGAUAGUCACUUAAUACUGUCUCAGUUAUCACAUCAACUAUUGAAGUUUCACAGUGCUUAUGACCAGGUAAUCCUUAUUUUACUUAAUAAUGGCCCAAAGUGCGAGAGUAAUGAUGUUAGCAUUUUGCAUAUUCUCUUAUUGUGCCUAGCUUAUGAAUUCAACUUUAUCAUAGGCAUGAAUGGAAAGACACAUUGUGUAUAUAUUUUGAUACUCUCUGUGGUUUCAUUCAUCCACUGUGGUUUUGGAAGGUAAUGCACAUAGAGAAGGGAGGACUUCUGAACCCCCACAAAUGACAACUGGGAGGGAGUGGAGGGGUUCAUCCUUGACAUAAAUUAUAGGAAAUUUGAAUUACAUCCAGUUGGGAAGACAUUCCUACACCCAAAUUAAAGAACAUAAAAUCUGAGGGGAAAUUUUUGUAAUGUUUUACUUGCUGAAAAUCAUUUUUGUCUGAUUUGAUGUACCAUUCCCUAUAGCACUUUAUAUUUUCUGAGAAGGCCUAGAUUCAUAAAACACACAUACACACACACACACACACACACAGUUGGGUGGUGGUGGGAGUAUUUGUAAUCAGGAUGGUCACAGCAGUAACUCUCAUUCAUCAAAGCACCAUGACAUUCCCUGCUCUGUGCCAUGUGUUUUGUAUACUUCACAUAUAUGAAAGUCUUACAAGAUAGAACUGAUAAAAUCAAAAUCACAUGUGAAUAUCCUCAGGCUCAAAGAGCUUGUGAUUGUCCCUGAUUUCACAUGUCUAGUCUGUGACAGAGCUGUCACUAGGCCUCUUCUCUGAAUUCAUCUGGAACCACUCAGUUCCACUCUUGCCAGCUUGAAUCAGACCUGCUAUCUCUUACCUCUCUUCUUGCUACUCCUGAAUGCCUCUCAGGAUAUGGAAAGAAGGAUAUAGCAACCAGGAACUUAAAUCAGGUUUAAAGAAUAAAG
rnacentral:lncRNA from 1 species